rnacentral:tRNA from 1 species
GGCUGUGGCUCAGUGGUAGAGUGCUUGCCUGACAUGUAUGAGGCACUGAGUUCGAUUCUUAGCACCG